rnacentral:rRNA from 1 species
UGGGAUAACUUCGGGAAACCGGAGCUAAUACCGGAUAAUAUUUUGAACCGCAGGUUCAAAAGUGAAAGACGGUCUUGCUGUCACUUAUAGAUGGAUCCGCGCUGCAUUAGCUAGUUGGUAAGGUAACGGCUUACCAAGGCAACGAUGCAUAGCCGACCUGAGAGGGUGAUCGGCCACACUGGAACUGAGACACGGUCCAGACUCCUACGGGAGGCAGCAGUAGGGAAUCUUCCGCAAUGGGCGAAAGCCUGACGGAGCAACGCCGCGUGAGUGAUGAAGGUCUUCGGAUAGUAAAACUCUGUUAUUAGGGAAGAACAUAUGUGUAAGUAACUGUGCACAUCUUGACGGUACCUAAUCAGAAAGCCACGGCUAACUACGUGCCAGCAGCC